AGCGGGAGCCCGGAGAUGGGUACUGAGACAAGGACCCAGGCCCUACGGGGCGCAGCAGUCGCGAAAACUUUGCAAUAAGCGCAAGCUUGACAGGGCUAUCCCGAGUGCCAUCCGCUGAGGAAGGCUUUUACCCAGUCUAGAACGCUGGGGGAAUAAGGAGAGGGCAAGUCUGGUGUCAGCCGCCGCGGUAAUACCAGCUCUCCGAGUGGUGUGGAUGUUUAUUGGGCCUAAAGCAUCCGUAGCUGGCUAGGUCAGUCCCUUGUUAAAUCCACCGAAUUAAUCGUUGGAUUGCGGGGGAUACUGCUUGGCUAGGGGACGAGAGAGGCAGACGGUAUUUUCGGGGUAGGGGUGAAAUCCUAUAAUCCCGGGAAGACCACCAGUGGCGAAGGCUGUCUGCU
rnacentral:rRNA from 1 species